UUGACACUAAUUUCAAAGAAUUCAGCCCAAAAUUGGAUCAAAUAAACAAAACGAUUGAAUCGGAUCCAAACUGGACCCGUAAACCCAACCGGUCCAACAUUUAAAUGAACCGAGGCUCUUCUUCCUCCCCACUUCAGCAAAGAGCUCGUUGAAAGCACAAACAGGAGAGAGAAGAAAACCAAAUUCCCUAACCCUUACGUUACUUUAAAUUACCGUAUCUCUUUCAUCCGAGCUCCGAUCGCCGCAUCGUUUGUGGCCACGCGAUCACCGCGUCGAGUUCUACGAUUUUAUUGGAAUAAUUUCAUAGGAUCCAAAUAGCUUCAGGAAAACGUUCACUCUUACUUAUACGAAACUUGGGUAAGAACCGUGACUCGCCACCACGUAUUCCAAGUAGAGACUCGAUACUCAGUUGACUUUACGUCGCAAGGGUGACCGGACACGUAUAAAUUAUCGGGAAUGGAUAACCCCCAUUGAGUAAAGUUAUAUAUGAAUGUAAGAAUUAUGAUUGAAAUAAAGAAAAGCUAUGCAUAGACUCAUGGGGAUGCGCGACGGGAGACAGUCCAAGGAUUUUCGGACUUGUCGGGUUGGCUUGAUAACCGACAGAUGAGCCUCAUCAGUCAUAGGACAGAUAUAAGUCAAGAGACACCUUGCUAGGCGUCUGGAGUUCUCUGCAGCAAAGUGGCCUUUUGGGGAUUAUUUUUUGUUUUGUUUUGUUAUAUGUAUAUAUAUGUGCAGUCUCUCCCUAUGUAUAUAUGUUUUACCUUUGUGUCUCAUAGAGGUUUAUGGAGAGCUAGAGUUUUAAACAUGUAUUUUGGC